rnacentral:rRNA from 1 species
GAUGAACGCUGACAGAAUGCUUAACACAUGCAAGUCGACUCGAGUCUUCGGACUUGGGUGGCGCACGGGUGAGUAACGCGUAAAGAACUUGCCUCUUAGACUGGGACAACAUCUGGAAACGGAUGCUAAUACCGGAUAUUAUGGUUUCUUCGCAUGGAGGAAUCAUGAAAGCUAGAUGCGCUAAGAGAGAGCUUUGCGUCCCAUUAGCUGGUUGGUGAGGUAACGGCCCACCAAGGCAAUGAUGGGUAGCCGGCCUGAGAGGGUGAACGGCCACAAGGGGACUGAGACACGGCCCUUACUCCUACGGGAGGCAGCAGUGGGGAAUAUUGGACAAUGGACCACAAGUCUGAUCCAGCAAUUCUGUGUGCACGAUGACGUUUUUCGGAGUGUAAAGUGCUUUCAGUCGGGAAGAAGUCAGUGACGGUACCGACAGAAGAAGCGACGGCUAAAUACGUGCCAGCAGCCGCGGUAAUACGUAUGUCGCAAGCGUUAUCCGGAUUUAUUGGGCGUAAAGCGCGUCUAGGCGGCAAGGAAAGUCUGAUGUGAAAAUGCGGAGCUCAACUCCGUAUGGCGUUGGAAACUGCCUUACUAGAGUACUGGAGAGGUAGGCGGAACUACAAGUGUAGAGGUGAAAUUCGUAGAUAUUUGUAGGAAUGCCGAUGGGGAAGCCAGCCUACUGGACAGAUACUGACGCUAAAGCGCGAAAGCGUGGGUAGCAAACAGG